UAGUCCACGCCCUAAACGAUGCUAACUCGAUAUUUGGGUCUUGAACCUGAGUGUCUAAGCGAAAGCGAUAAGUUAGCCACCUGGGGAGUACGUUCGCAAGAAUGAAACUCAAAGGAAUUGACGGGGGCCCGCACAAGCGGUGGAGCAUGUGGUUUAAUUCGAUGAUACGCGAGGAACCUUACCAGGGCUUAAAUGCAGUAUGACAGAUUUGGAAACAGAUUUUUCUUCGGACAUAUUGCAAGGUGCUGCAUGGUUGUCGUCAGCUCGUGCCGUGAGGUGUCAGGUUAAGUCCUAUAACGAGCGCAACCCCUAUUGCUAGUUGCCAGCGGAUAAUGCCGGGGACUCUAGUGAGACUGCCGGUGCAAACCGUGAGGAAGGUGGGGAUGACGUCAAAUCAUCACGGCCCUUACGUCCUGGGCCACACACGUGCUACAAUGGUAGGGACAGAGAGCAGCCACUUCGCGAGAAGGAGCGAAUCUAUAAACCCUAUCACAGUUCGG
rnacentral:rRNA from 1 species